AACGUGUUGGUGGAGAAGGUGGUGUGCUCAGCUAAGAGGCGCACCUUACCACGGCCCUGCAAAGCGAGGAUGUGCUCGCGCUGUCUCUCCUGGCACUGCAGAACGUCCAGCUGGAAGAGGACAGUUGGGGCUAAGGUCUUGAUGCGUCCGGAACUGAAGAUGGAUCUGUAUGAGGGUGACGGACGCUCCACUGACAGAUUUUAAAGGCACUUCAAAGAGAGAAGCACCCCACGUUAAGGACAGCACCCACGACCCUUAAAGCCGGUUCCACCGCCGCCGUCACCGCUGACCUUUAAACAGCUUGAAUUCCGGACACACAACUGACCCAUGUGAUAGUCAAAAUGUGAGUGGAAGCUGAUAAACACAUAACUUAGAAAAUGUUACAUUUAUGUUCAUGUAAUCUAGGCCACAUUUUGUGAUUUUGCAGUAAUCAUUAAGAUAAUAAACCUCAUCUCUGUGAGACCAAAACUAAUGUACAGCAGUCAUUAGUUUGACUGCCUUUAUUGAUGUUAAUUCACUUGUAACAAUUAAUUCCAACUUAAUAUUUGAAUAACUGAACACAGUGUGGAUUCUGUAAUUGCAGAAUGAAUUCAUCCUCAUCAGUCAUCAGGACAUUUUAGGGGCUCAAAUGAUCCAGUUUCUGUCUUUUUACUGCCGCUGAUGGAACUCAUUAUGGAAUCCCACAUAAUAGAAUCCAAUGUUUUUAAAUUGAAUACACAUUUGACUUGUUCCCUCACCCUCUCUGCUAUUUUCUUUGGUUAAAAUCUCAAAUUUGAAAAGAACCAAAUUUUUAUUAUUAAUGUUAAAAUGUAGUUCCAAAUUUAUUCUGUGGUUUCCGACUACUUACUAUCUGAGCUUUGAUCCAGGUCAUAUUCACAUUCUGGCCUCUACAUGCCCCUUUUGAAAUGUAACAACUAAUCUAUAAGGUGACGUUAAUUCUAUCUAAGAUCCCCAGUUCUCCAAAGUUGUUGAUUUGACUUGUUCUAACCUUCAUCCUGAGGAGAAAUUACAUAUAUUUCAUGGGUUCCUUGUUCUCUGGACUUCAAGAAGUGGAAGACCCUGUGAACAAUGCCUGAUGCCAAUAUGCUAAUUCCCCUCAGAUGGCCUUUUCAUCGGCUGAUGCUGACUCCCGUCGACACGUGCCAGAUGACUUUCCCCUCGUCCCACCGUUAAAGACCGCGACCGUGACGAUGGCAAAGGCGACCAUUACCGAGAUAAGAGCAGAUGUAGCCUUAUGCCGGCUGCCUGCUUGCACUGAAUCACAUAUAAUCUUACAACGAGUUCGUCCAUGUAGCAGAGCUGCAGCUGACCACAGCGAGUCAGGCCAGUGGUGGUGGAGAUCAGCAAGUCUUUGCACAAUUGAUUAACAAAAUACUUCAAAAUCCAAAUCCAUUUAUAAGUUUAAUAACUUAUAGACAAUCUUAAUCAGCCACAAAAUAUACAUGUAUUUAGUUAUUUUUUUAUUUAUCCUGACGGCCCCGUUCACAAAAGCAGUACAGAGAGGAACAAAGACAUUUUCUGUCCUGUUUGAAAUCUACCUUGAAUCACACAAACGAUGUUCCAGCUCGGCAAGGCUUUGUUGGUGACUUUUGGUUGUCUAAUUACGUACUUUCACAGUCUUAUACUGUCAACAGUUUUAUGACCAAUGGCUCCUUUCUCAAGUUGAAGGAUGAUCUGCUCAGAUUGCAUUAGGAGGUCAGCAAUCCUGUAGUCUGUGGCAGAUUUGGAGCAGGAAGAAACCUCUUAAGAAUAUUACAUUUUCAUUAGUUCUGUAAGAGGGCAUGAAGCUCUAAUGACCUUGUAUCACUGCACAUCUCUCACACAAUGUCAUUUCAACGGGAGACAUUUCUUUCUUUCUUUCUUUCUUUCUUUCUUUCUUUCUUUCUUUCUUUCUUUCUUUCUUUCUUUCUUCCCUCAUUUGUGUUUGUUGUCUUAUCUCACUCGUACUUCACACUUCUUUUUAAUUUCUCAUGGUUUCUGUUAGAAAACUGAGGAAUCCUGAGUCAAUUUUCCGUCGGGAGAGUUUUUCAAAUUUAUUCUGAUUCUGCAAAUUAUAAAUCAAUUUGAUGCAUUUCAACUUUUAAUAAUGAGACUUUAGUCCACAUAGACAGAUUUCUGUCCUCUUUUAAAAUUACUUAACAAAGUUAAUAGUUGCUCUGAUGUAGAUUCAUGCUUCCAUUUAUUGUUAAAAUGGCUCCACUCAUAUUUCUUAAUUAUCAGUCAAGCUGGGACUGAAGAAGGAAUCCUUGAAUGACAAUUAUAGGUUUAUAGAAAUGAAGCCAAAUUUCAGUUUUACUCAAGAGCUAAUGUUGCCGGCGUUAGCUGCUGUCUGGAACAAAGAAUAAUAUUUAAGGUUGUUCACGUUCGCCGAUGUGUAUGUACGCCAGUGUGCUUGACUUAGUGCGAACAGCAGAUCAGAUCAAUGAAUUAAGCUGCUCAUUAUGAUGGCCUGCUCUUGCUGGUCAUUAAGAAAAAUGCAUGUAGAAUUUGCCACCCAUGCCCCUAUGAAGUGUGUGUAAUUACCACUAAUGUAUCAUCGUCUAUUCAAGAGCGUAACGUUUCGUUUCCGAGGGCCGACAGUGGAACACCUCUGACCCAAAUGUUUUAUUCAUUCAUAAGACACCUAUUAUUCAUUUUAAACUCAUAUUUCAGACGAUGAACAGUUUUUUUUUUUCCGUGAAUACAUAUUUAUAUCCCGUACGCUUCUAACAGUGCGAACAGUUCUUCAUGUGGUUUAAUAUCAUAUUUGUGUUAUUUAAAUGAAAUAUCAUCAUAUCACUUUCAACUCUCUGAAACCUGGGAUUGUUGAAAUAGAUGCAUGAGAAGAGGUCAGCUUGUUCCAAAACUAACCAAUAAACAGACUCAUUAUAUGGUCAGAGUUACUGAACAUCUUCCUUGUCACAAGUCAUCAGUGUUUUCAGCGUAAUUUAUCAGCUAUAUUGAAUCAUUUUAAACGCCUUUAUUUCUGGCUCAGUCUUUGGGAGCGUUGUUGUGUUGCACUAAAGCACAUUUAAAUAUAUAACAAAGCUGCUGUACUGAUGUUAAAAGUAUUUUUCCAAAAUAAAAGUCUCCAGGCUUCAGGUUGAACGUUUUAUUUGGAGAAGAGUCACCAAAUCAUCCGAUGACUGAAUUCUAUUUUUUAUAUUUUCUAAUUAGUAAAAUUAAACUUAACUUCUGCAAAAACAUUUAGGUACGCCGCAUCCCAUCCGACUUACUGACUGCUUUUAUCUUUAAUUGAAGAGAAGCUUUUAGUGAGAUGCCUUAUUCUCAUCGAGUAGAGGAAUUGAUUCAUUUUAAAAAUGAAAUAGUAUCUUUACGAUGUUAGUUAAAACAAACUCAAAAGAUUGUGUCAAAUAUGCACGUCUGGCUGAUACGAAUAAUUUACAAGAGUGGCUGUUUGUAGAAAUUGAACCUGCGUACCAACAUGCCUGAAUAAGCGCGAGGCAUGGGACGAUAUGAUCAUUUCAUGUCCUGUGUAUUCUGUCCAACAUUAUUGUAAUUCAUGGUAUUAUCCUGAUAAUGAUCAAAAUAUAUUCUUAAAACUUUGAGGUAAAAACUAAAAUUGAACUAAAACACACCAGAAUCACUUGAAUCUUACUUUUUGGUUGUAAACAAAUAUUUUUAUUGCAUUACAUAUAGGACACAUCUUGUUUUUUUUUUUUAGG